rnacentral:rRNA from 1 species
CGAAUGAGGAAACUCACUUAGAGUAAUGUCUAAGUAUCAUUAAGUGAAUACAUAGCUUAAUGAGGGGAACUCAGGGAACUGAAACAUCUAAGUACCUGAAGGAAGAGAAAGAAAUUCGAUUCCGUAAGUAGCGGCGAGCGAACGCGGAUUAGCCCAAACCAAUAAAGUUUUCUUUAUUGGGGUUGCGGACAUAUCAUAACGGAGAGGUAUCGUAAUUGAAGAGGUUUGGAAAGACCCACCACAGAAGGUAAUAGUCCUGUAUGUUAAACGAGAAGACUUUAGAUAUGAUCCAGAGUACCACGG